rnacentral:rRNA from 1 species
ACACGUAAGGGGCAAGCGUUGUUCGGAAUUAUUGGGCGUAAAGGGCGCGAAGGCGGUUUUACAAGUCUGGUGUGAAAGAUCUCAGCUUAACUGAGGGACCGCGCUGGAAACUGUAAGACUAGAAUCUAGGAGGGGAAGCUGGAAUUCCUGGUGUAGGGGUGAAAUCUGUAGAUAUCAGGAAGAACACCGGUGGCGAAGGCGAGCUUCUGGCCAUAGAUUGACGCUGAGGCGCGAAAGCGUGGGGAGCGAACAGGAUUAGAUACCCUAGUAGUCC